UACGUAGGUGGCAAGCGUUGUCCGGAUUUAUUGGGCGUAAAGCGCCCGCAGGUGGCUUGAUAAGUUUCAGGUGAAAUCUCCCGGCUCAACCGGGAGGGUGCCUGGAAAACUAUCAGGCUUGAGUCAUGGAGAGGGAUGUGGAAUUCCCGGUGUAGUGGUGAAAUGCGUAGAUAUCGGGAGGAACACCUGCGGCGAAGGCGGCUUCCUGGACUGCAACUGACGCUGAGGCGCGAAAGCUAGGGGAGCAAACAGG
rnacentral:rRNA from 1 species